rnacentral:rRNA from 1 species
UCGAGCUUGCUCACAGGCACAUCAUAUCCAUAACACCUGUGCACUUGUCGGAUGGCUUAGUGAAGACCGCAAGGUUGAAUCUAUCCAUCUACUUUACAUAACAAUUCUGUAACAAAUGUAGUCUUAUUAUAACAUAAUAAAACUUUCAACAACGGAUCUCUUGGCUCUCGCAUCGAUGAAGAACGCAGCGAAAUGCGAUAAGUAAUGUGAAUUGCAGAAUUCAGUGAAUCAUCGAAUCUUUGAACGCACCUUGCGCUCCUUGGUAUUCCGAGGAGCAUGCCUGUUUGAGUGUCAUGAAAACCCUCAACCCUAGAUUGGUUAAAACCUUUCUUUGGUUUGGAUUUGGACGUUUGCCGAUGAUAAGUCGGCUCGUCUUAAAAGUAAUAGCUGGAUCUGUCUCGCGACAUGGUUUGACUUGGCGUAAUAAGUAUUUCGCUAAGGACAUCUUCGGAUGGCCGCGUUGCAGGACUAAAGACCGCUUUCUAAUCCAUUGAUCUUCGGAUUAAUACUCUUGACAUCUGGCCUCAAAUCAGGUAGGACUACCCGCUGAACUUAAGCAUAUCAUA